rnacentral:rRNA from 1 species
UACGUAGGCGGCGUUUAUAAGUCAAUGAUGAAAGCCAAUAGCUCAACUAUUGAAGUGUCAUUGAUACUAUAGCGCUUGAGUCUAGUUGAGGUGAGUGGAAUUUUACAUGUAGCGGUGAAAUGCAUAGAUAUGUAGAAGAACGCCAAUAACGAAGGUAACUCACUAAGCUACGACUGACGCUGAGGUACAAAAGCGUGGGGAGCGAACA